GAUGAACGCUGGCGGCGUGCCUAAUACAUGCAAGUCGAGCGAAUGGAUUAAGAGCUUGCUCUUAUGAAGUUAGCGGCGGACGGGUGAGUAACACGUGGGUAACCUGCCCAUAAGACUGGGAUAACUCCGGGAAACCGGGGCUAAUACCGGAUAACAUUUUGAACCGCAUGGUUCGAAAUUGAAAGGCGGCUUCGGCUGUCACUUAUGGAUGGACCCGCGUCGCAUUAGCUAGUUGGUGAGGUAACGGCUCACAAGGCAACGAUGCGUAGCCGACCUGAGAGGGUGAUCGGCCACACUGGGACUGAGACACGGCCCAGACUCCUACGGGAGGCAGCAGUAGGGAAUCUUCCGCAAUGGACGAAAGUCUGACGGAGCAACGCCGCGUGAGUGAUGAAGGCUUUCGGGUCGUAAAACUCUGUUGUUAGGGAAGAACAAGUGCUAGUUGAAUAAGCUGGCACCUUGACGGUACCUAACCAGAAAGCCACAGCUAACUACGUGCCAGCCGCCGCCGUAA
rnacentral:rRNA from 1 species